rnacentral:rRNA from 1 species
GACGAACCGUGCGAACGUUAUUCGGAAUCACUGGGCUUAAAGCGCGUGUAGGCGGCUGGGUACGUCGGUCGCUGAAAGCCCCCGGCUCAACCGGGGAAGGGGUGCCGAAACGACCCGUCUGGAGGGACGUAGGGGGAUCUGGAACUUCCGGUGGAGCGGUGAAAUGCGUUGAGAUCGGAAGGAACGCCCGUGGCGAAAGCGAGAUCCUGGACGUCGACUGACGCUGAGACGCGAAAGCUAGGGUAGCGAACGGG